GCCCCUGUAGCUCAGUUGGUAGAGCGGCGCAUUCGUAAUGCGUAGGUCGCAGGUUCAAGUCCUGUCAGAGGCU
rnacentral:tRNA from 1 species